AUUGAACGCUGGCGGCAGGCCUAACACAUGCAAGUCGAACGGUAACAGGAAGCAGCUUGCUGCUUCGCUGACGAGUGGCGGACGGGUGAGUAAUGUCUGGGAAGCUGCCUGAUGGAGGGGGAUAACUACUGGAAACGGUAGCUAAUACCGCAUAAUGUCGCAGGACCAAAGAGGGGGACCUUCGGGCCUCUUGCCAUCGGAUGUGCCCAGAUGGGAUUAGCUUGUUGGUGGGGUAACGGCUCACCAAGGCGACGAUCCCUAGCUGGUCUGAGAGGAUGACCAGCCACACUGGAACUGAGACACGGUCCAGACUCCUACGGGAGGCAGCAGUGGGGAAUAUUGCACAAUGGGCGCAAGCCUGAUGCAGCCAUGCCGCGUGUAUGAAGAAGGCCUUCGGGUUGUAAAGUACUUUCAGCGGGGAGGAAGGGAGUAAAGUUAAUACCUUUGCUCAUUGACGUUACCCGCAGAAGAAGCACCGGCUAACUCCGU
rnacentral:rRNA from 1 species